CUCUUCUUGAUUAUUUAAGAAGUAUAACCUGCCCAAUGAAUAAUAUUUAAUGGCCGCGGUAUAUUGACCGUGCAAAGGUAGCAUAAUAAUUAGUCUUUUAAUUGAAGGCUGGAAUGAAUGGUUAGACGAGAUAACAACUAUCUUAAUUUUAUUAAAUUGAAUUUAAUCUUUAAGUUAAAAAGCUUGAAUUUUUUUUUGGGACGAGAAGACCCUAUAGAGUUUAUAUAUUAUAAAUUGUUCUAAUGAAUUUGUUAUUAAUUAUUUUAUUUAUAUUAUUGUGUUGGGGUGAUAGAAAGAUAAUAGUAACUCUUAUUAAUUAAUUUUUAUAAAUGUAUAUAGUAUUUGAUCCACAAUUAGUGAUUAUAAGACUAAAUUACCUUAGGGAUAACAGCGUAAUCUUUUUUAAGAGUUCAUAUCGACAAUAAGGGUUGCGA
rnacentral:rRNA from 1 species